rnacentral:rRNA from 1 species
AUGAACGCUGGCGGCGUGCCUAAUACAUGCAAGUCGAACGAGUUCUGAUUAUUGAAAGGUGCUUGCAUCUUGAUUUAAUUUUGAACGAGUGGCGGACGGGUGAGUAACACGUGGGUAACCUGCCCUUAAGUGGGGGAUAACAUUUGGAAACAGAUGCUAAUACCGCAUAAAUCCAAGAACCGCAUGGUUCUUGGCUGAAAGAUGGCGCAAGCUAUCGCUUUUGGAUGGACCCGCGGCGUAUUAGCUAGUUGGUGAGGUAACGGCUCACCAAGGCAAUGAUACGUAGCCGAACUGAGAGGUUGAUCGGCCACAUUGGGACUGAGACACGGCCCAAACUCCUACGGGAGGCAGCAGUAGGGAAUCUUCCACAAUGGACGCAAGUCUGAUGGAGCAACGCCGCGUGAGUGAAGAAGGCUUUCGGGUCGUAAAACUCUGUUGUUGGAGAAGAAUGGUCGGCAGAGUAACUGUUGUCGGCGUGACGGUAUCCAACCAGAAAGCCACGGCUAACUACGUGCCAGCAGCCGCGGUAAUACGUAGGUGGCAAGCGUUAUCCGGAUUUAUUGGGCGUAAAGCGAGCGCAGGCGGUUUUUUAAGUCUGAUGUGAAAGCCCUCGGCUUAACCGAGGAAGUGCAUCGGAAACUGGGAAACUUGAGUGCAGAAGAGGACAGUGGAACUCCAUGUGUAGCGGUGAAAUGCGUAGAUAUAUGGAAGAACACCAGUGGCGAAGGCGGCUGUCUGGUCUGUAACUGACGCUGAGGCUCGAAAGCAUGGGUAGCGAACAGGAUUAGAUACCCUGGUAGUCCAUGCCGUAAACGAUGAAUGCUAGGUGUUGGAGGGUUUCCGCCCUUCAGUGCCGCAGCUAACGCAUUAAGCAUUCCGCCUGGGGAGUACGACCGCAAGGUUGAAACUCAAAGGAAUUGACGGGGGCCCGCACAAGCGGUGGAGCAUGUGGUUUAAUUCGAAGCAACGCGAAGAACCUUACCAGGUCUUGACAUCUUUUGAUCACCUGAGAGAUCAGGUUUCCCCUUCGGGGGCAAAAUGACAGGUGGUGCAUGGUUGUCGUCAGCUCGUGUCGUGAGAUGUUGGGUUAAGUCCCGCAACGAGCGCAACCCUUAUGACUAGUUGCCAGCAUUUAGUUGGGCACUCUAGUAAGACUGCCGGUGACAAACCGGAGGAAGGUGGGGAUGACGUCAAAUCAUCAUGCCCCUUAUGACCUGGGCUACACACGUGCUACAAUGGAUGGUACAACGAGUUGCGAGACCGCGAGGUCAAGCUAAUCUCUUAAAGCCAUUCUCAGUUCGGACUGUAGGCUGCAACUCGCCUACACGAAGUCGGAAUCGCUAGUAAUCGCGGAUCAGCACGCCGCGGUGAAUACGUUCCCGGGCCUUGUACACACCGCCCGUCACACCAUGAGAGUUUGUAACACCCGAAGCCGGUGGCGUAACCCUUUUAGGGAGCGAGCCGUCUAAGGUGGGACAAAUGAUUAGGGUG